rnacentral:misc_RNA from 1 species
GAUGAAGAACGUAGUGAAAUGCGAUAAGUAAUGUGAAUUGCAGAAUUCAGUGAAUCAUCAAAUCUUUGAACGCAUCUUGCGCUCCUUGGUAUUCCUUGGAGCAUGCCUGUUUGAGUAUCAUGAGCAAAUCUCAAAGUCAAUUCCUUUUGUUGAUUCAAUUGGUUUUGCUUUGGACUUGGAGGCCUUGCAGAUUUCACAGUCUGCUCCUCUUAAAUGCAUUAGCUGGAUCUCAGUAAUUAUGCUUGGUUCCACUCGGCGUGAUAAGUAUCACUCGCUGAGGACACUGUUAAAAAGGUGGCCAGGAAAAUACUGAUUGAACCGCUUCUAACGGUCUAUUAAGUUAGACAAUUACCCUUAAGUUUGAUCUCAAAUCAGGUAGGACUACCCGCUGAACUUAAGCAUAUCAAUAAGCGGAGGA